GUGGGGAAUAUUGGGCAAUGGGCGAAAGCCUGACCCAGCAACGCCGCGUGAAGGAAGAAGGCUUUCGGGUUGUAAACUUCUUUUGUCAGGGACGAAACAAAUGACGGUACCCUGAAAACAAGCCACGGCUAACUACGUGCCAGCAGCCGCGGUAAUACGUAGGUGGCAAGCGUUGUCCGGAUUUACUGGGUGUAAAGGGCGUGUAGGCGGGACGGUAAGUCAGAUCUGAAAUGUAGGGGCUCAACCCCUGAACUGCAUUUGAAACUAUCGUGCUUGAGUGAUGAAGGGGCAGGCGGAAUUCCGUGUGUAGCAGUGAAAUGCGUAGAUAUACGGAGGAACACCAGUGGCGAAGGCGGCCUGCUGGACAUUAACUGACGCUGAGGCGCGAAAGCGUGGGGAGCAAACAGGAUUAGAUACCCUAGUAGUCC
rnacentral:rRNA from 1 species